AUAACAACUCGAUGCUGGGAGUUGAGGUGAUCACAAAGGCCCCUCCCCGGAGCGGCUGGCCAGUGCACGUAGGCCGGAAUUGCUCUGUCAUCUCAACCUAAUAGGAAGGGAUGAGGUAAACAAUUUUUGUGACGGGGUCACAAGGCGUACGCGCCGUUGUCCC
rnacentral:snRNA from 1 species